rnacentral:rRNA from 1 species
UGACCUCAAAUCAGGCAAGAUACCCGCUGA